AUUGACCCGUCCAUAUGAUCUGUCAAAUAAUGGGUUAUUUGGACGGGUCAAUAACACAUGUUUUUGAAAAAGCAUGAGUAAACUUCAAGACGGGUAGUUUUUGAUCUUGUCUAAAUUUCGUCAGUCAUCCGAGAAGCAAAAACGAUGACGUGAUAGAAAUUGCAGUCUGAAAAAACGAUGUGACUCAACAUUCCGGCAUUUCAACGGCAAGCUGCGGACAAAAAAAUGGACAGAUCGCCAAUUUCGUCUUCCAAUGAUAAAGGAUAAAGAUUUCUGCAUCCUUUGGCCUGGUGUGUUGCUGUUGUUUAUAUUAAAAAAUAUAAUAUAUUAAAACCGAGAAAUUUCGUUAUGUUGAAAUUAAUUUAAAAGACGAAUAUUUUUUCUUCAAGAUAAAUGAAUUUCGAUUUUAUUUUUUACCAAUGUUAAAGGCUUUGAAAUUCAAAAAUUAAGAAAACCACAUGUGUACGAUCAAUUUUGCGGUUGACCGUAUGUACGAAUAUACAGACAUGAUCGUUUGAAUUUUAUAUUUUAAAACCCGAAUGAAUAGCACAAACUCCAAAGGUAAGAUUUUCAUAUUCAACACAUUUGAAUCCCGCACUUUGAAUGAGAACUUUGAAUUCUUCCUGCUUGGGGAAUUUACGUAUACUUUCUAUCAAAUAUUGAUAUGGCUGCCAUUGACUAGCUAGAACUUGACCCAUCGGAGGGAUCACUUGAAAUGAGUACUGGUCAUAGAUCCUGAAAAGAAAAAAACAGACAAUGAUUUUUUUUGGAAGUGUAAUGUUUUUCAUUUGAAGUGGCUCAAAUUAAUUUUGGUGAGAGCAUAACAGAGCUGCAAGCACGAAUAAUUUCAUAUUCUAUUAUUUUUAUGAAAAUUAAAAAAUAUAGCAAGAGGGAAACUGUUGAUUCUAAGCCUAUUAAAAUGUAGUUUUUAAA